CCUACGGGUGGCAGCAGUGAGGAAUAUUGGUCAAUGGGCGGAAGCCUGAACCAGCCAAGUCGCGUGAGGGAUUAAGGCCCUGCGGGUCGUAAACCUCUUUUGCCGGGGAGCAGAGGUCCGGACGUGUCCGGGCCGGGAGAGCACCCGGAGAAAAAGCAGCGGCCAACCCCGUGCCAGCAGCCGCGGUAAUACGGAGGAUGCGAGCGUUACCCGGAUUUAUUGGGUUUAAAGGUUGCGUAGGCGGGCAUUUAAGCCGGCGGUCAAAUGUCGGGGCUCAACCCCGGCCUGCCGUCGGAACUGGGUGCCUUGAGUGGGCGAGAAGUAUGCGGAAUGCGUGGUGUAGCGGUGAAAUGCAUAGAUAUCACGCAGAACCCCGAUUGCGAAGGCAGCAUACCGGCGCCCUACUGACGCUGAGGCACGAAAGUGCGGGUAUCGAACAGGAUUAGAUACCCUUGUAGUC
rnacentral:rRNA from 1 species